CAGUUCGGUCCCUAUCCGUCGCGGGCGUAGGAAAUUUGAGAGGAGCUGUCCUUAGUACGAGAGGACCGGGAUGGACUGACCUCUGGUGUACCAGUUGUUCCGCCAGGAGCACAGCUGGGUAGCUAAGUCGGGAAUGGAUAAACGCUGAAAGCAUCUAAGCGUGAAGCCAACCUCAAGAUGAGAUUUCCCAUAGCGUAAGCUAGUAAGAUCCCUUGAAGAACACAAGGUUGAUAGGUCGGGGGUGUAAGCAUGGUAACAUGUUCAGCUGACCGAUACUAAUAGAUCGAGGGCUUGACCAAU
rnacentral:rRNA from 1 species